rnacentral:tRNA from 1 species
GGUUGCAGCUCAGUGGUAGAGUGCUUGCCUAGUAAGCAUGAGGCUCUGGGUUUGAUCCCUGGCACCA